rnacentral:tRNA from 1 species
AGCCCCGUGGUGUAGCGGCCAAGCAUGGGGGGCUCUGGACCCCCAGACCCAGGUUCGAAUCCUGGCGGGGCUACCA